CUGAUUCAGGGGGAGAGUGUGUGUGUGCGUGCGUUCACGCGCGCGCCGCCGCGCCACCCCAACCAAUCUUUUGUGCACGGUUUCACGGUCAACGAGAGACGCCGCGCGCGUGUUGGCAAGUCAAGUGUCCGUCCCCCCUCCCCCCAGUGUGGGGGGUGGUGUGGGGUGGGUGACUUCUUGCCAACCGCAUGCGUCUGUGCGCGUUCUCUACGCUUACACAAUCUCUUGUGCAAUCUCUGUCUAACGCGUACCUAAAUAUUAUUAACACAUA
rnacentral:misc_RNA from 1 species